CCGCCGCGCAUGUGCCUUGCCCGCGAGGUAUGCCGGGGCUUGUAGUUCCCUGGCAGGAGGCUCGCAGCACCACGCGCUGGAGGCGAAGGAAGCGGUGCGCCCGGGACUCGAGGAGCCCAGGUUGCAGCCACCGCGCACGCACCGCGCACGCAGGGGAGGCAGCCGCGCACCCGGUGUCUUCGUCGUUCCGCCGCCCCGAGCAUCUCGCCUGCGGGGUAACAGCGCAAAGGACCCCAACAGUUAUUCCCUGGAAUAGAGCAACAGUGGUCCUUCGGACAACCAACGGAUGCCAGUUUAUCAGUGUUUGCAGAAGAAUUUUGCAGCAAGGAAGUUUCUGAGUCUUCUACAUUCUGCACGAGCCGCCAGUGGUGCAAAAGUGCUUAUAGUGCAGGAGCCGAAGGUGGUGCCCGUGGCUCUCUUCAUUUUGUCCUCACAAGAACUCUGUGAGGGACCAGCCCUGGGUCACCCAGUGAGCUUGAUGGCUGAGUGAAGGUUAGUCCAAAACUCUAACCACUGCACCACCAUGAGCUCUCCCUUUUUAUUGUCGCCUCUGAAAUGGUUAUGGAGGGCUGAUUUUUUUUAAAAAAGCAUUCUUUUAUUUAUGUUUGUAUUUUUGUGUGAUGUUUUGCAUGGUUCUAUGCAAUAAACUGGGAACUUGGUAUCGCA